AAAAGACAGUGUUAUGGCAAAAAGAUAGCAACUUGACAGUGAUGUGGCAAAAAGAUAGCUGUUUGUGCUUUACUGUGCUUCAAAAACUUGUUGGCAAAAUCAAAGACCAAAGGUGACCUGAUAACAAAAUGAUGCCAGCAUUGUUUAGGAAUUAGCUUUCAGUCCCUUUUGAUAGGAGCCUUGGUUUCUGUUUUUUGUCUAGUGCUGGAAGGUCUGUCUUUGGUGGGCAGGUUUUGUUGGUUCCUUGGUUCUGAGCCAAUCCCCAUAGCCUUGUUCUUGCUUUCUUCAGCAGUGGCCAUCAUUGUAAUACAUGGGAAUAAGUUGGGUGGAUCGUUCGCAAUGCAUGCAGUAGAUUGGCCUUGGUGAAGUAGUUCUUAAAAAUGGCAUCUUACAAUCUGAGCACGCCAUGGAGCAGAAAUGUUGAUCUUCAUUUAUCAGUGAAAGUUCACCAUCGAUGUAGAAUAUUUGUCCCUGUAAAUUUAGAAAUUGAUUUAGUUUUUGUUGAGUGGAAAAUAGUUGCAA